UUAGGGUUCGCAAUUUCUCUCCUCCUCAAUCGACAGCACGAAAGCAGCCGCCGUACGACGCCACCGCUGUGCUCUGCCCAGCCGCCGACCGUCGCCCAAGCACCUUCGUCCACGACCAGUCCAGCAAAUUGCAAAGAAGAUGACAAAGAAGAUGAGUCAGAGGACUUGUCUACCUCCGCCCGAUCGGGCGUACGUAAACACAACGUCGGAGUGCUUACGUUCAACGCCUUAGUAGUGUGCGUAUUUUCAUUCUUCCUGACCUGGAAGAAACAUAAGCUCACACCCAUAGAUUUAUUGUUGGUGAUUGGCUUGCUUUUCGGGAAUGGCCUGCUAUUUUGCGCUACCAUAUUGCGAGAGAGAUGGCAUUAUUUUUUAGAGAUGGUAGAUGUCUUGGCACUGGGCACCGUUUGAUCUAUUUAUAUUGGUUUGUUCAGUCGAACUAUACUUGGACACUGGCGGUACAAAGUUCCACUUUGUAUUGCGAUUGGAUGCAUAUGGCCCGUGCCGAUCUAUAUUAUUGGUUAUCGUUUUUGUCAAAUGAUUUUUUGGAUUUAUACGAUGAUCUCGCAGCACAACCAGCAGAAACACCUGCACAACAAGCAGCAGCAGCACAACCAACAAUACAACCAGCACCACCAACGGUCACCUCCAGCUCUAACCCCCGAUGCAGCAGCUGCACCAGCAACAGCACCAAUAGAAAUACAUCAGUUGUUGGAGGAGAUAGAUCGGGUGCAGGAGGGGAUAAAUCAGGAGAUUUAUGGGGUGCAGGAGCGGAUAAAUCAGGAGAUUUAUCGGGUGCAGGAGGGGAUAAAUCGGGUGCAGGAGGGGAUGAAUCAGCUGAUGGAUCCGGUGCAGGAGCAGAAGCGUCGGGCGUUGCUGCUGCUGCAGGAGCGGAAGCGUCUGUCUGACCCUUGCCUACCGUCACCUCCACUUCUAACCCCCGAUGAAGUAGCUGCACCAGCAACAGCAGGCUAGGGUUAGGUCCCCGGGAUAGAGCGUCGUAUAGAGACUAAUUCUCCUGCAGUUUCUACUCAUCACUCAACAAUGAUAGAAAAGAAGUUGUCGCUCUGAUCUUGGAAGACCAAACCUUUAAUCACCCAAGAUUAGCAUAUGGCUUCAUAUUCAGUUUACAGUCACUUAUAACAGCCAAAAGGAGAAGUGGACUCUUAAUGAGCUCAUCUCUCACUGCCUUGAGGAGGAAGAAAUGAUGAAGCGUAAUAAGACUGAGAAGGUACAUGUAGUUGGUACCUCAAAGGAUGCAGGCAGAAAUAAGAGAAAAUAUAAGGCCGUUGAGGUUGAGACUGCUAAGGCUCAUGUUCCAGCUCUAGCUCAUCGGGCUCGUCCUGAGAAGACCUGCUUCUUUUGAAAGAAAACUGGACAUGAGAAUAAGAAUUGUACUAAGUUUCACGAAUGGCACAUACGUUUCUUACUUUGGUUUGUUCUAAGAGUUGUCUGAGCUACCGAAACCCAACUGAUGCUGAAAGACGCAUUUACUUUGGAAAUAGGGAUUCAGAGAGGUGGAAGCCGUUGGCAUUUUCAAGUUUUUAUUGAGUAUUGGAC